rnacentral:rRNA from 1 species
UACGUACCGGACAAACGUUAUUCGGAAUUACUGGGCUUAAAGAGUGCGUAGGCGGCUUUGAAGGUGGGGUGUGAAAGCCCACGGCUCAACCGUGGAAUUGCGCUCCAAACCGCAAGGCUUGAGGAAGACAGAGGUGAGCGGAACUGAUGGUGGAGCGGUGAAAUGCGUUGAUAUCAUCAGGAACACCCGUGGCGAAGGCGGCUCACUGGGUCUUAUCUGACGCUGAGGCACGAAAGCUAGGGGAGCGAACGGG